GGGGGAGGGGAGGGGAGGGGUUGGUGUUGGAGUAAUUCUUAAGUUCUUUUUUUCUAGUACUACUUGUUUUUUAUAAGUAAUUCCUACUGAAGUUAAUAACUCAAUUAAAUAUCAAGAGCACAAUAAGAGCAACAAAUCAGUCAAAUCUGACACUCACUCGCCCCAAGAACAUCUACCUCCAGCGACAGUCCACAUUCCUCCAAGAAAAAAUGCAAUACCUU
rnacentral:misc_RNA from 1 species